UUGAGGAGGAAAUGAGCUGUAGAAAAAAAAAACCCCAGCAGCUGUGAAGGGGAGUUACUGCUGGCGGUUUCAUGUGAAGUGAAAGGGUAGACUGAAGUAAAAGUGAAACCAUACGCUGGCCUUAAAGCAAACCGUUUGCUCCUUUGUCCAACUUAUCCGAGUUUUAAGGCGCCUCUGGAUGGAUUUACUUCAGCAGAAAAAGCUCGAUAUGGAAUAAUAAGAUGGAAGCGCAAGUGAAGGAACACAAUCUGCAGAGGAUUAAACAUCACCCUGGUGCUCUUCAGCUCUGCAGACCAGGAGGAACCAGAGUGCGAUGGUUACGGUUGUCUGUCGGUAAAGGAACUAUGUCUGAAACUGAGACAGAGACAGACUGUGGGAGUUAAGCAAGUAUGCUGUACAUUCAGCAAAAAAA